rnacentral:rRNA from 1 species
GACGAACGCUGGCGGCGUGCCUAACACAUGCAAGUCGAGCGAAUGAAGUUCCUUCGGGAACGGAUUUAGCGGCGGACGGGUGAGUAACACGUGGGCAACCUGCCUCAUAGAGGGGAAUAGCCUUCCGAAAGGGAGAUUAAUACCGCAUAAGAUUGUAAUACCGCAUGGUACAGCAAUUAAAGGAGCAAUCCGCUAUGGGAUGGGCCCGCGGCGCAUUAGCUAGUUGGUGAGGUAACGGCUCACCAAGGCGACGAUGCGUAGCCGACCUGAGAGGGUGAUCGGCCACAUUGGGACUGAGACACGGCCCAGACUCCUACGGGAGGCAGCAGUGGGGAAUAUUGCACAAUGGGGGAAACCCUGAUGCAGCAACGCCGCGUGAGUGAUGACGGCCUUCGGGUUGUAAAGCUCUGUCUUCAGGGACGAUAAUGACGGUACCUGAGGAGGAAGCCACGGCUAACUACGUGCCAGCAGCCGCAGUAA